CAGUGAGGAAUAUUGGUCAAUAGCCUAACGGCUGAACCAGCAAUUUGGGGGAACGAAUAGCUUUAGCUAGUUAUACUUGGUAUUUUUUAUUUUUUAAUUUUUGUCAUUAUUAUCUAAUUAUGGAUAUGUUACAUGGACAAGUAUAGCAUCGAUUUUAUCGAAUAAAGUUCUAGGUAGAUGAUUGAUUAUGACAAUUUUCUAUCUAUAUGUCUUGACCAAACUACGUGCCAGCAGUCGCGGCAAUACGUAAAAGACUAGUGUUAUUCAUCUUUAAUAGGUUUAAAGGGUACCUAGACGGUAUAAUUAGUCCUAAACAGGAUACGGUUAUGACUAGAGUUAUAUAUGAGGAGGGGAGAAUUUAUGGAGUAGAGUUAAAAUUUUUUAAUACCAUAGAGACUGGUAACGGCGAAAGCGACCUUUUAUCUAAUAACUGACGUUGAGGGACGAAGGCUCGGGUAACGAAUAGGAUUAGAUACCCUAGUAGUCCAAGCAGACAAUUAUGAAUGCCAUAGAUUAGAUGUUUUUUAGUCUAUAAAUGAAAGUGUAAGCAUUUCACCUCAAGAGUAAUGUGGCAACGCAGGAACUGAAAUCAUUAGACCGUUUCUGAAACCAGUAGUGAAGUAUGUUAUUUAAUUCGUCAAUACGCGAAAAACCUUACCACAAUUUGAAUAUUAUUUUAUGAAAACAAUAUUAUUAAUAUAAUGUUAGUAGUUAAAUAUUACAAGCGUUGCACGGCUGUCUUCAGUUAAUGUCGUGAGAUAUUGGUUUAUUCCUUAAAAUUAACGGAAACCCUUGCUUUAUUUAUCUUUAUAAUAAAGCAGUACGCCCUUGAUUGGAUGCGGUAAUAGGGACCAAGACAAGUCAUCAUGGCCUAAAUAUUGUGGGCUAUAGACGUGCCACAUAAA
rnacentral:rRNA from 1 species